rnacentral:rRNA from 1 species
UGGGAAUUUUGGACAAUGGGCGAAAGCCUGAUCCAGCAAUGCCGCGUGUGUGAAGAAGGCCUUCGGGUUGUAAAGCACUUUUGUCCGGAAAGAAAUCCUUGGCUCUAAUACAGUCGGGGGAUGACGGUACCGGAAGAAUAAGCACCGGCUAACUACGUGCCAGCAGCCGCGGUAAUACGUAGGGUGCAAGCGUUAAUCGGAAUUACUGGGCGUAAAGCGUGCGCAGGCGGUUUGCUAAGACCGAUGUGAAAUCCCCGGGCUCAACCUGGGAACUGCAUUGGUGACUGGCAGGCUAGAGUAUGGCAGAGGGGGGUAGAAUUCCACGUGUAGCAGUGAAAUGCGUAGAGAUGUGGAGGAAUACCGAUGGCGAAGGCGGCCCCCUGGGCCAAUACUGACGCUCAUGCACGAAAGCGUGGGGAGCAAACAGGAUUAGAUACCCUGGUAGUCCACGCCCUAAACGAUGUCAACUAGUUGUUGGGGACUUCAUUUUCCUUAGUAACGUAGCUAACGCGUGAAGUUGACCGCCUGGGGAGUACGGUCGCAAGAUUAAAACUUAAAGGAAUUGACGGGUCAUAGCUG